rnacentral:lncRNA from 1 species
UAUUUUUAAAGCUCUAGAUUGAGACACAAGAGAUGGCAUGACUCUUAAGCAGUUCUAAUUUAAUACAUUAGAGAGUGAAAACAUUAAAAUUUUGAAUUUGUCAAUUAUUAUUGUUCAAAUAAAGAUAAGUCUCUCACAAUUUAGAUUAUGAUGCUAUGGUACAUAGCUCAUGAGUUGCCGAUAGGUUUACUGUGUUUUAUAGUUGUUUAUUAUGAACUAGGUGUUGGAUGUAAAUUGUUGUAGUCAUUGUAAAAUCU